rnacentral:rRNA from 1 species
UACGGAGGGGGCUAGCGUUGUUCGGAAUUACUGGGCGUAAGGCGCACGUAGGCGGCUUUGUAAGUUAGAGGUGAAAGCCCGGGGCUCAACCCCGGAAUUGCCUUUAAGACUGCAUCGCUUGAACGUCGGAGAGGUGAGUGGAAUUCCGAGUGUAGAGGUGAAAUUCGUAGAUAUUCGGAAGAACACCAGUGGCGAAGGCGGCUCACUGGACGACUGUUGACGCUGAGGUGCGAAAGCGUGGGGAGCAAACAGG